CUACGGAGGAUCCAAGCGUUAUCCGGAAUCAUUGGGUUUAAAGGGUCCGUAGGCGGGUUUAUAAGUCAGUGGUGAAAGUUUGCGGCUCAACCGUAAAAUUGCCAUUGAUACUGUAGAUCUUGAAUUAGUGUGAAGUGAUUAGAAUAAGUAGUGUAGCGGUGAAAUGCAUAGAUAUUACUUAGAAUACCAAUUGCGAAGGCAGGUCACUAACACUAUAUUGACGCUGAGGGACGAAAGCGUGGGGAGCGAACAGGAUUAGAUACCCUAGUAGUCC
rnacentral:rRNA from 1 species